UAAGUAAUAAUUUAUUAAAAUAUUAAAUUGCAAAUUUAAAAAUGGUUUAUACCUUACUUUU
rnacentral:tRNA from 1 species